rnacentral:rRNA from 1 species
CCAGAGAACUUAGCAGAGAUGCUUUGGUGCCUUCGGGAACUCUGAGACAGGUGCUGCAUGGCUGUCGUCAGCUCGUGUUGUGAAAUGUUGGGUUAAGUCCCGNAACGAGCGCAACCCUUAUCCUUUGUUGCCAGCGAUUCGGUCGGGAACUCAAAGGAGACUGCCGGUGAUAAACCGGAGGAAGGUGGGGAUGACGUCAAGUCAUCAUGGCCCUUACGGCCAGGGCUACACACGUGCUACAAUGGCGCAUACAAAGAGAAGCGACCUCGCGAGAGCAAGCGGACCUCAUAAAGUGCGUCGUAGUCCGGAUUGGAGUCUGCAACUCGACUCCAUGAAGUCGGAAUCGCUAGUAAUCGUAGAUCAGAAUGCUACGGUGAAUACGUUCCCGGGCCUUGUACACACCGCCCGUCACACCAUGGGAGUGGGUUGCAAAAGAAGUAGGUAGCUUAACCUUCGGGAGGGCGCUUACCACUUUGUGAUUCAUGACUGGGGUGAAGUCGUAACAAGGUAGGCGUACUACA